GACCCGGUGGCGAAGUGGUUUCGCAUCCGCAUAGCUUCAGAUUGUAUUUGUCUAGUUCUGCGGAAGACAUCCGUUCGAUUCGGGUCUGGGUCA